GACGAACGCUGGCGGCGUGCUUAACACAUGCAAGUCGAACGGAAAGGCCCUGCUUGCAGGGUACUCGAGUGGCGAACGGGUGAGUAACACGUGGGUGAUCUGCCCUGCACUUCGGGAUAAGCCUGGGAAACUGGGUCUAAUACCGGAUAGGAGCCAUUUUUAGUGUGAUGGUUGGAAAGUUUUUUCGGUGUAGGAUGAGCUCGCGGCCUAUCAGCUUGUUGGUGGGGUAAUGGCCUACCAAGGCGGCGACGGGUAGCCGGCCUGAGAGGGUGGACGGCCACAUUGGGACUGAGAUACGGCCCAGACUCCUACGGGAGGCAGCAGUGGGGAAUAUUGCACAAUGGGCGCAAGCCUGAUGCAGCGACGCCGCGUGGGGGAUGACGGCCUUAGGGUUGUAAACUCCUUUCGCUAGGGACGAAGCUUUUUGUGACGGUACCUAGAGAAGAAGCACCGGCUAACUACGUG
rnacentral:rRNA from 1 species